GACGAACGCUGGCGGCGUGCUUAACACAUGCAAGUCGAACGGAAAGGCCCUGCUUUUGUGGGGUGCUCGAGUGGCGAACGGGUGAGUAACACGUGAGUAACCUGCCCUUGACUUUGGGAUAACUUCAGGAAACUGGGGCUAAUACCGGAUAGGAGCUCCUGCUGCAUGGUGGGGGUUGGAAAGUUUCGGCGGUUGGGGAUGGACUCGCGGCUUAUCAGCUUGUUGGUGGGGUAGUGGCUUACCAAGGCUUUGGCGGGUAGCCGGCCUGCGAGGGUGACCGGGCACAUUGGGACUGAGGUACGGCCCAGACUCCUACGGGGGGCAACAGUGGGGAAUAUUGCCCAAUGGGCGGAAGCCUGAUGCAGCAACCCCGGGUGCGGGAUGACGGCCUUUGGGUUGUAAACCGCUUUCGCCUGUGACGAAGCGUGAGUGACGGUAAUGGGUAAAGAAGCACCGGCUAACUACGUG
rnacentral:rRNA from 1 species